rnacentral:rRNA from 1 species
GAACAUUGACCCUACAUGUGUAGGAUAGGUGGGAGACUUUGAAACGCAGACGCCAGUUUGCGUGGAGUCGUCCUUGAAAUACCACCCUUGUAGUGUUGAUGUUCUAACUUGGCCCCAUCAUCUGGGAUGAGGACAGUGCCUGGUGGGUAGUUUGACUGGGGCGGUCUCCUCCCAAAGAGUAACGGAGGAGCACGAAGGUGGGCUAAUCACGGUCGGACAUCGUGAGGUUAGUGCAAUGGCAUAAGCCCGCUUAACUGCGAGAAUGACGGUUCGAGCAGGUGCGAAAGCAGGUCAUAGUGAUCCGGUGGUUCUGUAUGGAAGGGCCAUCGCUCAACGGAUAAAAGGUACUCCGGGGAUAACAGGCUGAUACCGCCCAAGAGUUCAUAUCGACGGCGGUGUUUGGCACCUCGAUGUCGGCUCAUCACAUCCUGGGGCUGAAGUCGGUCCCAAGGGUAUGGCUGUUCGCCAUUUAAAGUGGUACGCGAGCUGGGUUUAGAACGUCGUGAGACAGUUCGGUCCCUAUCUGCCGUGGGCGUUGGAUGAUUGAGAGGGGCUGCUCCUAGUACGAGAGGACCGGAGUG